rnacentral:rRNA from 1 species
CCGGCACGGGUGAGUAACACGUAUCCAACCUGCCGUCUACUCUUGGCCAGCCUUCUGAAAGGAAGAUUAAUCCAGGAUGGCAUCAUGAGUUCACAUGUCCGCAUGAUUAAAGGUAUUUUCCGGUAGGCGAUGGGGAUGCGUUCCAUUAGAUAGUAGGCGGGGUAACGGCCCACCUAGUCAACGAUGGAUAGGGGUUCUGAGAGGAAGGUCCCCCACAUUGGAACUGAGGCACGGUCCAA